GAGGAUAUAGCUCAGUGGUAAAGCACUCCUGGGUUCAAACCCCAGUACCCCCA
rnacentral:tRNA from 1 species